GACCUUUUACAUUUCCGCGCAACAGCCUAUAUAGGCUUCUGUCGUCGCUUGCGGCGUCUAUGGCGAUAAACGAGCUUCGCAAUAAACCUAUCGGACCCGGGGGCGGUACCCGGCGCCUCCACCCGAGGCCAGCGCAAAGGCUGGGCUGGGGUGGGGGCGAAAUAGGAUUGACGAGGGCGUAAAGGGGGUUUUUUCGCUCGGCAUGAUACCGCCGUUAUCGGGUCAAACCUAUAGUUGCCAACGACAACUAUGCUCCGGUGGCCGUCGCCGCGUAAUGCGGCGCCUACACUGGGAAUCAAGUCCUGAAGGUUAGCGCCUUCAGGCGGGGCUCGGAGGCGCCUGGCAACAGAAGCCUCCACU
rnacentral:tmRNA from 2 species